UGGGGAAUUUUGGACAAUGGGCGCAAGCCUGAUCCAGCCAUGCCGCGUGCGGGAAGAAGGCCUUCGGGUUGUAAACCGCUUUUGUCAGGGAAGAAAUCUUCUGAGUUAGUACCUCGGGAGGAUGACGGUACCUGAAGAAUAAGCACCGGCUAACUACGUGCCAGCAGCCGCGGUAAUACGUAGGGUGCAAGCGUUAAUCGGAAUUACUGGGCGUAAAGCGUGCGCAGGCGGUUUUGUAAGACAGAGGUGAAAUCCCCGGGCUCAACCUGGGAACUGCCUUUGUGACUGCAAGGCUUGAGUGCGGCAGAGGGGGGAUGGAAUUCCGCGUGUAGCAGUGAAAUGCGUAGAUAUGCGGAGGAACACCGAUGGCGAAGGCAAUCCCCUGGGCCUGCACUGACGCUCAUGCACGAAAGCGUGGGGAGCAAACAGGAUUAGAUACCCUGGUAGUCCACGCCCUAAAACGAUGUCAACUGGUUGUUGGGAAGGUUCCUUCUCAGUAACGUAGCUAACGCGUGAAGUUG
rnacentral:rRNA from 1 species